GAUGAAGAACGUAGCGAAAUGCGAUAAGUAAUGUGAAUUGCAGAAUUCAGUGAAUCAUCGAGUUUUUGAACGCAUAUUGCGCCCUCUGGUAUUCCUUAGGGCAUGCCUGUUCGAGCGUCAUUUAAACCUUCAAGCUAAGCUUGGUGUUGGGUGACUGUCCGCUUCACGGCGGACUCGCCUCAAAAUUAUUGGCGGCCGGUACAUUGGCUUCGAGCGCAGCAGAAACGCGAACUCGGGCCCGUCGUAUUGGCUCCCAGAAGCUAUCUUCACAAUUUUGACCUCGGAUCAGGUAGGGAUACCCGCUGAACUUAAGCAUAUCAAUAAGCGGAGGA
rnacentral:misc_RNA from 1 species